UACGAAGGGGGCUAGCGUUGUUCGGAAUUACUGGGCGUAAAGGGCGCGUAGGCGGUGUGUCAAGUCAGGCGUGAAAGCCCCGGGCUCAACCUGGGAACCGCGCUUGAGACUGGCACGCUCGAGUUCGGGAGAGGAUGGUGGAAUUCCCAGUGUAGAGGUGAAAUUCGUAGAUAUUUGGGAAGAACACCGAUGGCGAAGGCAGCCAUCUGGACCGACACUGACGCUGAGGCGCGAAAGCGUGGGGGAGCAAACAGG
rnacentral:rRNA from 1 species